rnacentral:rRNA from 1 species
UACAGAGGGGGCAAGCGUUGUUCGGAAUUACUGGGCGUAAAGCGUGCGCAGGCGGUUAUGUAAGACAGGGGUGAAAUCCCAGGGCUUAACCUUGGAACUGCAUUUGAGACUGCAUAGCUAGAGUACGGUAGAGGGGGAUGGAAUUCCGCGUGUAGCAGUGAAAUGCGUAGAUAUGCGGAGGAACACCGAUGGCGAAGGCAAUCCCCUGGACCUGUACUGACGCUCAUGCACGAAAGCGUGGGGAGCAAACAGG